GUGGUGGGUUUCAUCCCAAGGGCUGAAAUAAGGAGAUGAGAGCCUGCCAGAAAGUUUCCACAUUCUCUCUGCAUAUUCUUCAGCAACUGGGCACUGUUCUUGGAUGGCUGGUGGAGGGGGGUCCAUAGGUGCCUGCUUUGGGGGGCUUGAAAGCAGCACAAAAGGGACUGUUAAGCAGAGGUUGGACUGCCCCUAUAUGCUGGCCCCACCCCUCCUCCCCCUCCUUGAUGAAAGUCAUGAAUAAAGACGACCUUGGUACCUCCCCACCUAUGUUACAUUAAAAGACCCGAAAGAUUCAAGCUUGCUAACUUUUAGGUUUCAUUUCAUUUUUAAAAAGCAACUGUUUCAGUCUAUUCCCGACUUAAUUUUUAAAUAAACUAGGAAUUGAAAUUCUAUUUUGUUCAAUUUAGUUUGGACUUGCCUAGACCAGAGGAUGGAUUUUACUUGUACUGUAUGGCUCACUGAGUAUGGCUCACUGGUUUGAUCGAAGAAUCUGUUUUAUUUUUAAAAAAGAGAUUAACAGAAAAUUUUGGUUACUGGAUUUCUCUCGAGAUAUGGAUCUGCCUCCCUAGGGCGAUAACCUGGGAUUCUCGUGUCCACAAGCACAGACACCCAUCUACUCUCUGGGAUGGGCUGACAGAAGCAGCUCCGUGGCAAUGAUUCUUCUGGCGUUUCCAGACUUACAGUAAAGGCCUCGGAGAGCACAAAUGGGUCACUGCCUGGAACCACAAGAACUCCCGACUUCUACAGCUUCUACAGCUCUCCAAGGGCUCUGCCAACUCUGACUGAAGCCAUCUUGGAGCUUCAGUGUUGCCAUGCUGGAGCUGAGGGAUGGGGGGGGGGAUUGAGAUAGUUGGGACUCUGGAGCCAAAACAAAAUACUUUCUCUUGGGAAUCAAGGACAUUCUCAUACCUAGUCGGAAGAAGGAUGUCACCAGGUGACCAGUCCGCAUCGUGAUUGGACCAUUGUUUUAAGAAAGUGGAAAAACUUUUAUUUUUAUUUAGGUGAAAAUCGCGGGAACCCUCAGAGUCAGUUUUCACCAGAUAUGUGCCAAUAUGCUAUUUCCAAUCAAGCUAUCUUUUGAGGAAUCCACCUGCCUCGGAGUAUUGCUUGCUAUGGGUCAAUUACCUGGAACCCUGAGAGGCUCAUCUUGGACACUCUGCACUUCCUCGCUGUGGGAGAUCAACAGCUGUUUCCUGAAAAUCCACAUGCAGCCCACAGGCCUGGCCAAGGGGAUGGGCAGGUUGGGCAAGCCACAGAGUGCUGGUCCUUAGGAAUAUUGGUUGCGGCUGAGAGGCUGCUUUGAGGGUGAGGGGUAGGAGUCAAUGGCCAGGGACGGCAUUUGCCAUGGCAAAUGGUGUGACAAGCAGGUUGUUUUGCCAAGUUGUUCUUUAUCUUGGUCACUUGCCUGCUUAGAGGAUGUUGAUGAGCCAUGGAAACAAACCAGAAAAAGGAACAAACAUCUGGAUGACCCAAAUCGCCACUAGAUGAAGAGGAGGAAGAAGAAAUGAACAGACAACAAUAGGGGAUUCCUGGGGUAACCACCCCAGAGGAGCUGCAGGUCCUUUUCAUGACCUGCAGAUCAAUCAAGAAUAAACCAUAGUUUGACCAAGUGGAACAGGUGGAUUCCAUGGGGAUGUAUGGAAGACUUCUUCUUUUGGGGUCCAAUGACUUGUAGGGCACUGCCCCUCCAGAAGACCCAGGUGUUGCUUCAAGGCUGGUGCCACCCACAAGCCCUCUCUGCUGCCAACCCUUGAAAUGGCUCAUAGCUGCACCUUUUCUGUUCUGAAGGUGGUGUGUGUGUGUGUGUGUGUGUGUGUGUGUGUGUGUGUGUCCCAGUUUCUGGUUCUAUUCUUAUUUUGGGGUGGGCAAGGGGCUGCCCCACAUGAAGAACAGACCUCCCAAGUUCUCUAUAAAGGGGAAGACUUGUCAUUCUGUUCACUGUCCAGUCACUCGUUGAGGUGAAUGGUCAAAUUGGCUAUUGCUUAACGCAUUGUAAGCUGCCCUGAGUCUCCGGAGAAGGGCGGCAUAUAAAUCAAAUUAAAAAAAAUAAUAAUAAUUUGGAUAAAUAAAUAAACCCCUCUGGAGAAGCCACAAAGAUGCUCUGGGCUGCAGAAGCUCACUCAGGUGAUGCUCACUUCCUUUGCCCCCCUCCCUCCCUCCCCCCCCCCGACUGUGGCAAUGAAAGCUUUUGUGCCCCUCCUGAGCCCAGCCGGAAUUAUCGGGGAGGGAGGGAGGGAGGAGACGGUGCAGGUGAAGCCACAUUGAUCUCACCAGCUUCCAAAUGAAAACCAGCGCUUGGACUUAUUGCUUUCCAGCUAGAAAUUUGAUUACAUUUUUCUGGGGCUGUAAAUCUACCUCUUUUCCGGCAACGUUAUUAUUGAAGCCGCUGCUGAAUUUAUGUGACGAUGGUGGUGCCAACGGGGUGGGGGAGGAGUCAUAUGUAAAAUUUCAUUGCUGGCUCUGACAUUCCAGGAAGUUAAAAAGCGAUUACAGGCUGUGCUUUGCCUCGGGACAGAAUGACUCACGCUACGCAGCAGCUCCUCCGCCAAAGAACGGAGGGCUGAAGCAGGUGGAGGGAGGGGGGCGGGGAGGCAGCAUUAUGUCGAGAAGCAAAGGUCAAUUACAUUGGAAGGGAAUCUAUUCUGUUUUUAAAAUAUUUUUUGCUUACAUUGCCAUCCUUUCUCAAGCAAGCAAAAUAAACUUCCACUUCUA